rnacentral:lncRNA from 1 species
AUGAUAAAAAGGAAGAAAAGAAAGCAAAGGCUGAGGAAUCCAAGGAGGAAAACCAAUCAGAAAAUGGGGAGACUAAGACCAAUGAGGUUGAAAAAACUCCAGACGAGGCGGCGGAGCCCGAGAAGGAGGACCCGAAGACAGAGUAGCACCACGCCUGUCCAUCCAUCCGUCCAUCUUUUCCCUUUCCCCCCCUUUCCUUUCUUUUAUCUUCCUCUCUCUUUCCCAGUUUUCUCUCUCCCUUUCCAGUUCUCUCAACAACCUCCUCUCUGCCCAUCACCACCAGAGGAAUAUUUUUAUCAGCGAAUUUGUAAAUACUGGUUCAGGUUUUUAGCACAAAAACAAAGCUGACUAAAACGAGUCUUGUGUUCGGCCGCAGCUGUAUCAGGUGUCUACAACACGACAGGUGUGAAAAAGGCGGCAUCUUUCUAUAAUUUUGUUGAUUUUCUAUUUUGAUUUCUUUUUUUUAAGCGGCUGGUCUGUAGCUUGGUUUUUGGAGUGGGAGGAGGCUCUCAGUCUGUAUGUCCGUUAGUGCUCGUGAUGUUUCUGUAUGGGGUUUGUUUUUAUUUUUAUUUUAAACGUAAUCGAUUGUCUUUAAGAAAGAGGGAUGAGUUAAACAAAUAUAGAAGAAAAGAGAGAAAACAACUAAAGACAAACUGCUUGCAUUCCAGGUUCAGCAUUAGAUGGUGACUCCUGGCUUUUUAAGAAUCAUACCACCUCUGCAAUUUGUUGAAACAGAAAACUGGGCUUUGUUAGGAGGCCAGAAAAACCCUUCUGUUGUUAUAGAGGACUUUUUUGAAAUUACAGGAUUCAAAGAAAAAGAAUUUAAAGCGCUUUUGGAAUUUUUUUAACACUGAAAAUUCAUCUGUGAAAAAGUACUUUGUGUCCCCUCACUCAAUAAAAAUCCAUCAUUGGAGUUUUCCUCAAAAUGUCUGCUGUGGUCUUUUACACUGAUUAUAUGUUAUACACUGGGUAUUAUAUACUUGUUUCUAAGCAUAUAUUGUUCUGUAAUCAGUUAUUAUCUUUCAAUAAGUGGUUGGUGCAAUAAUAUAACUCAUAGUGGAUUUCACCAUUGGUUUACGCUGCAUUUCAAUCAUAAGAAAUGAU